rnacentral:rRNA from 1 species
UACGUAGGGUGCAAGCGUUGUCCGGAAUUAUUGGGCGUAAAGAGCUCGUAGGCGGUUCGUCGCGUCGGCUGUGAAAUCCCGGAGCUCAACUCCGGGUCUGCAGUCGAUACGGGCGGACUCGAGUUCGGCAGGGGAGACUGGAAUUCCUGGUGUAGCGGUGAAAUGCGCAGAUAUCAGGAGGAACACCGGUGGCGAAGGCGGCACUCUGGGACGGUACUGACGCUGAGACGCGAAAGCGUGGGGAGCGAACAGG